AGUGUGCAGGCUUGAUAUGGAUAAUUUCAGUUGCCAGAAGUCGCGUAAUUAUUAAUUGUCUGUGUACAACGGCUCGGAUGCAGAGAUGGAAGACUCGCCGAGCAUGUUGAGUGGAUCGAAUUCUAAUGCAAAUUCACUGGCUGAAUCUGCCCACGUUGGACAGGAAGAACGUUACAAUCAUGUCAGAGUGCUAGGAAAGGGGGCAUUCGGUGAAGCGGUUCUUUAUAGUAAAACUGAGGAUAACUCCUUGGUUGUCUGGAAAGAGAUCAACUUGGCACAGGCAACAGAGAAGACGAAACGAGAUGCUCAGAAUGAGAUUGAUAUUCUGUCUCUGCUGAAUCAUGCCAAUAUCAUCACAUACUAUAAUCACUUUGUGGAUGAAAGCUCCUUGUUUAUCGAGAUGGAGUAUGCAAAUGGUGGAACUCUCUAUGAGAAGAUCGUUCACCAAGGUGAACAGCUGUUUAGUGAAGAGAUUUUAUGAAAAGUCCAAAAUUGCUCAGGCUGAAAGAUGUCUACAGGGCACAGCUGAGGUUGAAAGACCACCAUCAGAGCCACCACGCAAAUCACAAAGAUUGCUCACUCACCAGGGCAUACGGAAACUGCAAAUUGAACAUGUUCUUCCUGCAAGAUGCUUCUUCUUCUGCAUACAUAUGCUUCAUAUGUAAAAGGGAGAAAUGGAUCAAGGAUGCAGCAACUUGCAAAUUGGUCAAGGAACGUUUAAUGUGAUGGGCUGCUUCUGAAGACAGUGAAAAGAAAACAUAGUGAAGGCAUCUUGGUUUAUAUUUAAGGAAAAAGACCUUGAAGUGAAAUUAAUGAACCAUGGUUCCUGCUACAAAGCAUACACCCGUGAAGAACCUCAACAUGAACCUUCGUGUCAAGAUGCAAACAAGAUGCAAACAAACAUCAAACAAGACGACAUGUACCGUGUUUCAUUGAGAUGCCUUUGCAAGAAGGCUGACUUGUCAUGCACUGAACUUUGCAAAUGACCGUUGACUUUCGUAAUGUUGUAAUUGUAAUUGUUGGUAUCCAACCAAUAGCAGAGAUUCGACAUGUUAAAUCCUUAAAAUGAAGUCGUUGAUCAGUUGAAACAUGACUGGAUUGUACAGUGUGCGGUAGGGCUUAACCCCUUGAUGACGGGAAUUUCUUCCGGAAAGCCGACUCCAAGAAUUUCAGCCUCACUUGGCCACGA
rnacentral:misc_RNA from 1 species